GUGAGGAAUAUUGGUCAAUGGACGAGAGUCUGAACCAGCCAAGUCGCGUGAAGGAAGACGGAUCUAUGGUUUGUAAACUUCUUUAGUGCGGGAACAAAGCGGCGUCGUGACGCCGGAUGAGUGUACCGCAAGAAUAAGCAUCGGCUAACUCCGUGCCAGCAGCCGCGGUAAUACGGAGGAUGCGAGCGUUAUCCGGAUUUAUUGGGUUUAAAGGGAGCGCAGGCUGCGAGGCAAGUCAGCGGUCAAAUGUCGGGGCUCAACCCCGGCCUGCCGUUGAAACUGUCCUGCUAGAGUUCGAGUGAGGUAUGCGGAAUGCGUUGUGUAGCGGUGAAAUGCAUAGAUAUGACGCAGAACUCCGAUUGCGAAGGCAGCAUACCAACUCGCGACUGACGCUGAGGCUCGAAAGCGUGGGUAUCGAACAGGAUUAGAAACCCUAGUAGUCC
rnacentral:rRNA from 1 species